rnacentral:lncRNA from 1 species
GGAAAACUGCCUCCUCGCUCCUCGGCUGCGCCUGCCUGAGGCCAGGCCUGAGAGUCAACCUCCCGCAACUCUUGACAGCUGCUCUAUUGGGAAGGCGCCUAAGAGGCGGCAACCCGACCCGGCUUCAUUUCCCGCCCGCUAGGGACAGCCACCUCCUGUUCGGAGGACUCAGGACACCAGCUUGCUUUCCCUUCUGAGGCCAUAGUUCCAGGGAAGGAGUACACUCCUUGCCCUCUGUCCUGUGGAACAUUUGAAGAGCCAACAAAGGUCAAGUGUCAGGACCACAGCCGGCACGGCCCAAAGUGGCGCCAGACAUGAGGUCCACUAAGGAAGGUGAGAAUGAACCUUCCAAGUCAAGAGCUUCUCCAUCGGAUGUGCCUCAGGCU